UGGCGUUGAGUUGCUUAUUUUUGCACACGUGACCUAGAAAGUAUUUAUCACCAUAUUUGAAACAUUGGCCAUGAGUCCUUCUCAAUUUAGUAAGGUUUGUUUUUGGUUUUGUAGUGCUGUCAAUGUUUGCUUCAGCUUUUUAGCUAGUGGUUUUGCUGGAUAUGUUUAGCUAUAAGGUGGUUUAUUGAAUUAGAGGGAUUGAAGGUGGUGGUUCUAGUGGUGUAAGGAAUUUGAAUUCUAGGAAUGAAUUUUUGUUUUUUAAACAUAGUUGUAGUGGAUUACUCCCACA
rnacentral:lncRNA from 1 species